AUUGAACGCUGGCGGCAGGCCUAACACAUGCAAGUCGAACGGUAACAGGAAACAGCUUGCUCCUUGGGUGACGAGCGGCGGACGGGUGAGUAAUGCCUGGGGAUCUGCCCGAUAGAGGGGGAUAACUACGGGAAACUGUAGCUAAUACCGCAUAACGUCUACGGACCAAAGUGGGGGCUCUUCGGACCUCAUGCUAUCGGAUGAACCCAGGUGGGAUUAGCUAGUUGGUGAGGUAAUGGCUCACCAAGGCGACGAUCUCUAACUGGUUUGAGAGAAUGACCAGUCACACUGGAACUGAGACACGGUCCAGACUCCUACGGGAGGCAGCAGUGGGGAAUAUUGCACAAUGGGCGCAAGCCUGAUGCAGCCAUGCCGCGUGUGUGAAGAAGGCCUUCGGGUUGUAAAGCACUUUCAGCGAGGAGGAAGGGUUACUAGCUAAUACCUAGUGACAUUGACGUUACUCGCAGAAGAAGCACCGGCUAACUCCGUGCCAGCCGCCGCUGUAA
rnacentral:rRNA from 1 species